rnacentral:lncRNA from 1 species
CGUUGCCCAGGCAACCGCGGGACUCCUGAAGAAAUGGUGGAUGCUCCAAACAGUGACCAGCACUCACCUUAGGCCAUGACCUCUACCGGCUAAAAAGCCUAAACUCAGCGUGGAUCAGGGCUAUGCCAGCCUAAGGCCCAGUAUCGUUUCACUUCACCUGAAACCCUCAAAUAUUUGUUGUCCUAUCAUAUGCCAACUACUAUGGAUUAUGUAAGGGAUGCAAAAAUGAAUGUUAUUUGGACCUCCUCCUUACCAAAGAUAAGAAGAGCAGGUGUUUUUGGGGAGAAGUGCUAA